rnacentral:rRNA from 1 species
UACAGAGGCCUCGAGCGUUAGGCGGAAUCACUGGGCUUAAAGCGUGUGUAGGCGGACUUCUAAGUACCUUGUGAAAUCCCACGGCUUACCCGUGGAACGGCUGGGUAUACUGGGAGUCUUGAGCCACCUAGGGGCGAGUGGAACAAAUGGUGGAGCGGUGAAAUGCGUAGAUAUCAUUUGGAACGCCAAGGGCGAAAGCAAGCGACUGGGGUUGUGCCGACGCUGAGACACGAAAGCCAGGGGAGCGAACGGG